rnacentral:rRNA from 1 species
GACGAACGCUGGCGGCGUGCCUAAAACAUGCAAGUCGAACGAGGGGAGCAAUCCCUUAGUGGCGAACGGCGGAGUAAUACAUAAGCAACGUGCCCCGAAGACUGGGAUAUACGGCCGAAAGGCCGGGCAAAUACCGGAUGUGGCGGAAGAGAGGCAUCUCAUUUCCACUAAACAGUUUUUGCUUCGGGAGCGGCUUAUGGCCUAUCAGGUAGGUUGGGGGGGUAACGGCCCACCAAGCCGACGACGGGUAGCGGGCUGAGAGGAUGAUCCGCUCGAGUGGGACUGAGACACGGCCCACACACCUACGGGUGGCAGCAGUUGGGAAUCUUGCACAAUGGGGGAAACCCUGAUGCAGCGACGCCGCGUGGAGGACGAAGGGUCUAGGCCUGUAAACUCCUUUUA